rnacentral:ncRNA from 1 species
AGCCGCUAGGGGAGCAUAUGCUGAGAGACAAUGGUCGACCCUUGGAACCUGUAGGGAUAAUGCCUGCGAAGGGAAGCGGAUGGA